rnacentral:lncRNA from 1 species
UUUUAAUUAAUUUUAUUGCCAUGAUUUUAGUCCUAUCAGCAAAAACAUUUGCAUUCCUGAAUGAUUCUUGUCCUUUACCAAAACAAAAGAAGAGUGGUUCUUGUCAGGAAAAUUGUAACUACAAAGGUUACAUGAGAAGCUUCCCAUUAAAAAGUAGAGCAUGCAGAAAUGCAUAACCAUGACAAUAGAAUAAUGCCAAUUAAAAUUGUAAGUUUUGCACUCUCAUGACAUUAAUAUCAUGUUAAUUAUGCAAGCGUGUUUCAAAUGUC